CUCCGCUUGCGGGGGGAUCAGUGGCGAACGGGUGAGUAACACGUGGGCAACCUGCCCUCAGCUCUGGGAUAACUCCAAGAAAUUGGGGCUAAUACCGGAUAUGACUGCUGACCGCAUGGUCUGGUGGUGGAAAGAUUUAUCGGCUGGGGAUGGGCCCGCGGCCUAUCAGCUUGUUGGUGGGGUUGUGGCCUACCAAGGCGACGACGGGUAGCCGGCCUGAGAGGGUGACCGGCCACACUGGGACUGAGACACGGCCCAGACUCCUACGGGAGGCAGCAGUGGGGAAUAUUGCGCAAUGGGCGAAAGCCUGACGCAGCGACGCCGCGUGGGGGAUGACGGCCUUCGGGUUGUAAACCUCUUUCAGCAGGGACGAAGCGAAAGUGACGGUACCUGCAGAAGAAGCACCGGCCAACUACGUGCCAGCAGCCGCGGUAAUACGUAGGGUGCAAGCGUUGUCCGGAAUUAUUGGGCGUAAAGAGCUCGUAGGCGGUUUGUUGCGUCGGCUGUGAAAUCCCGAGGCUCAACCUCGGGUCUGCAGUCGAUACGAGCAAACUAGAGUGUUGCAGGGGAGACUGGAAUUCCUGGUGUAGCGGUGAAAUGCGCAGAUAUCAGGAGGAACACCGGUGGCGAAGGCGGGUCUCUGGGCAACAACUGACGCUG
rnacentral:rRNA from 1 species